AAAUUGAAGAGUUUGAUCAUGGCUCAGAUUGAACGCUGGCGGCAGGCCUAACACAUGCAAGUCGAACGGUAACAGGAAGCAGCUUGCUGCUUCGCUGACGAGUGGCGGACGGGUGAGUAAUGUCUGGGAAACUGCCUGAUGGAGGGGGAUAACUACUGGAAACGGUGGCUAAUACCGCAUAACGUCGCAAGACCAAAGAGGGGGACCUUCGGGCCUCUUGCCAUCAGAUGUGCCCAGAUGGGAUUAGCUGGUUGGUGAGGUA
rnacentral:rRNA from 1 species